AUAAAGGAAGAAGUACAGUGGAGACGGGGUUGGUAUCGGGAGAGGUGCAGAGGAAGGGAGCCUGGGCGCUUAAAACGGCCAGGGCAACGCAAAAAUUAAAUCUCUUGAACAGCACGUUGGGAGCCGGACGGCGGCCUCGGUGGAAGGCCGUGUAAAUCUGGUGGGCAGACGGCGGUGGUCUGAGCCCGCUUGUGGCGCAGGGAUCGGGCAAAGCCGCGUGCAGCGGGUGCGAUGGUUGCGGUGCAGACUGACAGGCGCGUGUACACGCAGAGGUGCCUCCAGAGCCCGUUUGCAGCACCUGGGUGAAAAGUUCAUGCUGGAAGGUGUGCUCGGUUCCUCUUCACAGUUGCCACUAAAGGAUAACGCUGUCUACCCAGCCUUGAGUCAGAUAAUGUCUAGCCUGCUUAUCCUGAGGACCUGAAAACGCUUAGAAAACCAAACCAAACCAAAAACUUCAUUAAGAUAUCGUCACUGGACAGACUUAAGAAAACAGUAAUGAUUGGCAAAAGAGCAUGCAUAUAAAACUGUACUGCAUCUCAGUUAUACAUUACUAUUAAAACCUCUCUGACAGUUUCUCUUUUAGGUGCUUGCCCUGCCAGGCUCCGUUGUGUAGGGGUUAAAGAACAGUCGUUUUCCACCUCGCAACCUGUGGAUUCAGCUGUGUUGGGGCAGAAGAGACGGGACCAGCUGCUGGCCACAUUUCCUGCUUUAUUUUAAAAGGUAGUAUGAAAAAUGAGAAUAAAGAGGUAACAGGGCUUUUGCUAUCUUUACUUAAAAAAAAAUUGAAUGCUAGGAUCAUUUAAUGUCAUCCAAGAUGUUUUUUUGAAAGACAAUGUCCUAUCAAUCAGGUUUUCCUCCAGUGUAUUCAGAAUUGCAGCUGUUCAGAGUACAUUGCCAGCGCAAAAGAGUCUUGGUGGGAUGUAUGUUAUGUUACACCUCUGUGACAUCAACAGGAGUGUUUAAAGUUUCAGUCUGAAAUUGCGUAACCCUGCUGUAAUUGAUGGGUUGUACAAAUGCCACAUGAAUCUGAAGCCAGCCUUCAAGACGUGUACUAACUGAUACGCAAAAUGGAAAUAAUUGGAGCUGCUGGAUUGAGCUGAGGUGAAUCUGCUUAGCUCAGAGUUAGUAAAUAUGCUUUAUUUAUGAAGCUUAACAUGCUUGAUUAAAAGACAAACAGUAAUGUAACAGGUAUGGGACGUUACAAUGGCAUUUUUACAGUCACUUCAGAGCAGAAGUGUAUUUUAAGUUAACUUAAAUAUGCAUUCUUUCUUUUUGCAUCACUGCGAAGUAAUAGGAGUCAGAGACUCGGUUCUGGUCUGUGUUAGGAACCUGCACAUCACCCUAAUUGUAAAACUAUCUACAAGCUGUGUCUGAGAGUAGCUGAUUUUAUGACAAGGAAAAUUAGGUGUACUGGUACAAGAAGAAGGUCAAGUCCCAAGAAAGUAAGUGGCUGCAGGCAUUUCUAGUGCCUACUGAAUCAUAUUUAAACCAAAUAGAGGGGAGGAAGUUAUCUGAAAUGAUAACCAACUGUAUUGUUUGUAUGGUGUGUUAUUAAUGUAGCUUUUUGAAGUAGAAGCCUUGAAAUGAUACAAUUUAAUACUUGAAAAAAAUAGUGUUAUUGUUUCUUUGUAAUUACGUGCCAUCCAGAUAAGAAUACAGUAUCAUAAUAAAAUCAGACUUGUUGAUCUUUCAGUU